CACUAGGAAGCUAAUCUAGGGUAACAGCAUUGGCCUUUUAAGCCAAAGAUUGGUGCCUCCCAACCACCUCUAGUGA
rnacentral:tRNA from 1 species